rnacentral:misc_RNA from 1 species
GAUGAAGAACGCAGCGAAAUGCGAUACGUGAUGUGAAUUGCAGAAUUCAGUGAAUCAUCGAAUCUUUGAACGCACAUUGCGCCCGCCAGCACUCUGGCGGGCAUGCCUGUUCGAGCGUCAUUUCAACCAUCAAGCCCCAGGCUUGCGUUGGAGCCCUGCGGCUGCCGCAGCCUCCUAAAAGCAGUGGCGGGCUCGCUAUCACACCGAGUGCAGUAGAUUACUCUUCGCUCAGGGCGUGCAGCGGGUUCCGGCCGUGAAACCCCCUACUUUUAAAGGUUGACCUCGGAUCAGGUAGGAAUACCCGCUGAACUUAAGCAUAUCAAUAAGCGGAGGA